rnacentral:lncRNA from 1 species
AUGGCACUGAAGCGUCUCUCAGAUUUUUUAAUAAGAAAGUUGUUCAGGUUGCGGUACACCAUAUGGCCAGAGACCUUCGUGUACUUUGAGAAGAGCUCUACUGUGAGAGAAGUCCGCGCUGAGAUCAUUAAAAGCCUAAAGGAUCGCGUGAGGAUAAAGGAGUCUGAAGAUGAGGAGGAGUGUGAUGUGAGAAUGUACUUCUGCCCCAUUGUUUCCCGCGCGGGAACCGAUAUCAGCGCUGUUCUCUCCAGGGUUAGGGCUGACAAACCCGCCAUCGUAAUAGUGCUGCAACAUACCUUCGACGAGCAAGCAGUUGUACCAAGUUGCAGAGAAUAUGAGAGGGAGAAGCGUGUUUUUGUGACCUUCCUUUUCUCUGAGGACAAGGGACUUCUGGUCUGUCAGAAGAAUACCGAAGACUUUCUAAAAGCAACACAUUUUUUAAAUAGGUGGGCCCCCAAAAGGAUAAACAAACAGGAAAAAGACAGAUUCAGAAGAAGAAUCCUGAUGGCCAUUACCUGUGGAUGCAUUUUGUGGGGAUUGUAUCGUUAUUAUGUACUAUUGCCAAAGGUAUUGGAGUGUGUUUAACAUUGGGUGGUACGCAUUGGCUGAAUUUAAUCAAAUCCCACCCUUCACUCCUUUAAAAAAAAAAAAAACAUUGUGUCCUGUGGUUUUAGUUUUGUCUACUAAAAGCGCUUUUUCCGAUGGUGAUCUUUUAUUAAAAGAACAAGAAAAGAAAAGAAACAAGACAUUAUCCAAAAGUUGGUAACAUUGCAGUAUAUUGUUAUUGUUGCGAUUCACUACUCUCAUCACUGUUUAAAGCCAGUGUUGUGCCAAAUUCAGCACCCCGCCAGAAAAAGCACCCCCUCUUGGGAGCGCACACCUACGUCUUCAUAGCUUUAACUUUACUUAGAAAAUGGAAAUACCCAAGAUACUGUUCUAAGCUACACUAACUCAUAGGAAAUAAUAUAAAAGAAACAACUGCAGCCUCUUCCGAGAGGGGGUGCUUUUCCUGACUAUUGGUUUAGGCCUAAUUUCCGGUCUUGUUUGAAACAACCACUGUAUAUAUAUUUUCCUGUUUAAUUCAUGGUAAACAUACAAUGUCCUGCACAUUCUAACCCUUGUAAUAAGCAACAAGUAACAGCAUAAUUUAGAAUAUUAAAUACUGCUCUUCACUUAGUAAAGCUAAUAGUAAAGUCAUGUAAAAUCAUGUCACUUGAAUGUGUGUUAAAGCAUAGUCUUCAUGUCUUCAGUCUUUUUUAUAAACAUUUAAACACAGAAGUAAAUAAAAAAAAAUUAUAAUGAGUAAAUGUACUGACA